GAUGAACGCUGGCGGCGUGCCUAAUACAUGCAAGUCGAGCGGACGGACGCGAAGCUUGCUUCUCUGAUGUUAGCGGCGCACGGGUGAGUAACACGUGUAUAACCUACCUAUAAGACUGGGAUAACUUCGGGACACCGUAGCUAAUACCGGAUAAUCUUUUGCACCGCAUUGUUCAAAAGUGAAAGACGGUCUUGCUGUCUCUUAUAGCUGGAUACGCGCUGCAUUAGCUAGUUGGUAAGGUAACGGCUUACCAAGGCAACUAUGCAUAGACGACCUGAGAGGGUGAUAGGCGACACGGGAACGGAGACACGGUCCAGACGACUGCGGGAGGCAGCAGUAGGGAACCGGCGGCAGUGGGCGAGAGCCUGACGGAGCAACGCGACGUGAGAGAUGAAGGUGUUCGGAGCGGAAAACUCGGUUAUUAGGGAAGAACAGAUGUGUAAGGAACUGUGCAGAUCGUGACGGUACCGAAUCAGAAAGCCACGGCUAACUACGUG
rnacentral:rRNA from 1 species